GGAGGGGAAGAGAAACAAAAGAGCUUUACCAAAUGUUUCUGACAGAGUGGUCAGAAAUAGCAAAUGAUUAAUGCCAUCGUUUAGGAAUAUCAAAAACUGCCAGUUCUUGUGAUCAGGGAGCAGUUUCAAAGGGAAGGUUGUGCUGCCAGCUGGAACAGUGACCUGCAGGACUCAAAGGAUCCCAUGAUGAACUACCACUCACCCCACCUGAAAAUCUGAACCCUGGAAAAACCACACCUAAUGCCCUGGUCAGCAGAGGGGGAUCUCGCAGGAAAAGGCAAAGAAAAUUCGACUAAAAUGUCCAGGUUUUUUCCUUGAGGACUCCCAGCACAGUUAAAGCUCAGACCCUGAGAGCUGUGGGGUCAGAAUUUCAUCCUCAGAGCCCAGCAGACUGUGGCCUGGAGCACACUGCCGCCUGGAGCACACCCCCACACCAUUCCAAGUCUGUUUCCCUGGAUGUUGCACGUGAAAACACAAAUAUUUUUAGCUACUUGAUCUCACAAAACAUUCAGGAAUAUUUCCCUGCCUUCCCCGUGCUUUCUCUUUACCUGCGCUAUCUCAUGGGGCUGCUCCAUCCCGACAUUGCCUUCUGCAAGGCAGAACCACUCCAUGGGAGCAGCAGAAGAGGAGGGAGUGGUUUCCCAAGCAACAGUAUCCAGGGGCAGAGUUUCCAAUCUGGACCUGGAGAAGCAGAUCCAUUCCUCCUUCAGGAGGCUGAGGACAAUCUGUUGAAGAAAAAUUGUUGAAGGCAAUCUGUUCUUACCAAGGAUGGCUUCCCAACGACAGGGAACAUGCUUGCCACUGACAGUGUUUGCUCCACCGUUGGGUAUGUAUUGGAAAAACCAGGAAUAUAGGAAGGGCACGGGGAUACAUGUCAGUCACAGGAGCAGACUGCCAGUCCUGAUUCAGUUCUCUUAACUGCAGUAUGAAUAUUUCAUAAUAAGGCCAAAAAAAAAAACCCUAUACCAAACUAUAUGAAACUAUUUUAAAUUCCUCCACACAAAACCGGACAAAAAGGGGAUUAUAAAGGCAAUUCCCCCCUUAACUGUGAACAUUCUUCUCCUCAGAUUUUAAUGAACUGUUCUAUUUUAAUGCACUUUUGAAGCACGUCAUCUGUAUUC
rnacentral:lncRNA from 1 species